rnacentral:rRNA from 1 species
CAGCCGCCGCGGGAAUACGAAGGGGGCUAGCGUUGUUCGGAUUAAUUGGGCGUAAAGGGCGCGUAGGCGGGUUUUUAAGUCAGAGGUGAAAUCCCAAGGCUCAACCUUGGAACUGCCUUUGAUACUGGAAGUCUUGAGUCCGGGAGAGGUGAGUGGAACUGCGAGUGUAGAGGUGAAAUUCGUAGAUAUUCGCAAGAACACCAGUGGCGAAGGCGGCUCACUGGCCCGGUACUGACGCUGAGGCGCGAAAGCGUGGGGAGCAAACAGGAUUAGAGACCCCCGUAGUCCCUGUCUCUUAUAC